CCUACGGGAGGCAGCAGUGAGGAAUAUUUGUCAAUGGGCGCGAGCCUGAACCAGCCAAGUAGCGUGAAGGAUGAAUGCCCUACGGGUUGUAAACUUCUUUUAUAAAGGAAUAAAGUGAGGCACGUGUGCCUUUUUGUAUGGACUUUAUGAAUAAGGAUCGGCCAACCCCGGUCCAGCAGCCGCGGGAAUACGGAGGGGCCGAGAGUUGGUCGGGAUUAAUGGGUUUAAAGGGAGCGUAGAUGGGUUGGUAAGGCAGGUGUGAAAGUUUGGGGCUCAACCCUUAAACUGAAAUUGAUACUGGCAGCCUUGAGUACAGUUGAGGUAGGCGGAAUUCGUGGUGUAGCGGUGAAAUGCUUAGAUAUCACGAAGAACUCCGAUUGCGAAGGCAGCUUACUAAACUGCAACUGACAUUGAUGCUCGAAAGUGUGGGUAUCAAACAGGAUUAGAUACCCUUGUAGUC
rnacentral:rRNA from 1 species